rnacentral:rRNA from 1 species
GACGAACGCUGGCGGCGUGCCUAAUACAUGCAAGUAGAACGCACAGUUUAUACCGUAGCUUGCUACACCAUAGACUGUGAGUUGCGAACGGGUGAGUAACGCGUAGGUAACCUGCCUGGUAGCGGGGGAUAACUAUUGGAAACGAUAGCUAAUACCGCAUAAUAUUAAUUAUUGCAUGAUAAUUAAUUGAAAGGUGCAAUUGCACCACUACCAGAUGGACCUGCGUUGUAUUAGCUAGUAGGUGAGGUAACGGCUCACCUAGGCGACGAUACAUAGCCGACCUGAGAGGGUGAUCGGCCACACUGGGACUGAGACACGGCCCAGACUCCUACGGGAGGCAGCAGUAGGGAAUCUUCGGAAAUGGACGAAAGUCUGAACGAGCAACGCCGCGUGAGUGAAGAAGGUUUUCGGAUCGUAAAGCUCUGUUGUAAGAGAAGAACGGGUGUGAGAGUGGAAAGUUCACACUGUGACGGUAUCUUACCAGAAAGGGACGGCUAACUACGUG